rnacentral:rRNA from 1 species
CAGCCGCCGCGGUAAUACGAAGGGGGCUAGCGUUGCUCGGAAUCACUGGGCGUAAAGGGUGCGUAGGCGGGUUUUUAAGUCAGAGGUGAAAUCCUGGAGCCCAACUCCAGAACUGCCUUUGAUACUGAAAGUCUUGAGUAUGGGAGAGGUGAGUGGAACUGCGAGUGUAGAGGUGAAAUUCGUAGAUAUUCGCAAGAACACCAGUGGCGAAGGCGGCUCACUGGCCCAUAACUGACGCUGAGGCACGAAAGCUAGGGGAGCAAACAGGAUUAGAGACCCCGGUAGUCCCUGUCUCUUAUAA